rnacentral:rRNA from 1 species
UACGGAGGGUGCAAGCGUUGUUCGGAUUUACUGGCGUAAGCGCGCGCAGGUGGGUGAACAAGUCGGAAGUGAAAUCUUGAGGCUCAACCUCGAGGCUGCUCCCGAAACUGUUCGCCUAGGGACUGGUAGAGGCUGGUAGAAUUCCCGGUGUAGCGGUGGAAUGCGUAGAGAUCGGGAAGAAUACCCGUGGCGAAGGCGGCCAGCUGGGCCAGGUCCGACACUGAGGCGCGAAAGCGUGGGGAGCAAACAGG